rnacentral:rRNA from 1 species
AUUGAACGCUGGCGGCAUGCUUUACACAUGCAAGUCGAACGGUAACAGGCCGCAAGGUGCUGACGAGUGGCGUACGGGUGAGUAAUGCAUCGGAACGUGCCCAGUCGUGGGGGAUAACUACUCGUAAGAGUAGCUAAUACCGCAUACGAUCUAUGGUUGAAAGCGGGGGACCGUAAGGCCUCGCGCGAUUGGAGCGGACGAUGUCAGAUUAGGUAGUUGGUGGGCGAAAGGCUCACCAAGCCAACGAUCUGUAGCUGGUCUGAGAGGACGACCAGCAACACUGGGACUGAGGCACGGCCAAGACUCCUACGAGAGGCAGCAGUGGGGAAUUUUGGCCAAUGGGCGCAAGCCUGAUCAAGCAAUGCCGCGUGCAGGAAGAAGGCCGUCGGGUUGUAAACUGGUUUUGUACGGAAGGAAAGGACUGUGGUUAAUACCCGGGGCUAAUGACGGUACCGUAAGAAUAAGCACCGGCUAACUACGUG